rnacentral:rRNA from 1 species
CCUUUGACGUUAGCGGCGGACGGGUGAGUAACACGUGGGUAACCUACCUAUAAGACUGGGAUAACUUCGGGAAACCGGAGCUAAUACCGGAUAAUAUUUCGAACCGCAUGGUUCGAUAGUGAAAGGUGGUUUUGCUAUCACUUAUAGAUGGACCUGCGCCGUAUUAGCUAGUUGGUAAGGUAACGGCUUACCAAGGCGACGAUACGUAGCCGACCUGAGAGGGUGAUCGGCCACACUGGAACUGAGACACGUUCCAGACUCCUACGGGAGGCAGCAGGU